rnacentral:rRNA from 1 species
CAAGGAAUUUUCCCCAAUGGGCGCAAGCCUGAGGGAGCAACGCCGCGUGCAGGACGACGGCCUUCGGGUUGUAAACUGCUUUUGCGUGGGACGAUAACGACGGUACCACGCGAAUCAGCCCCGGCUAACUCUGUGCCAGCAGCCGCGGUAAUACAGAGGGGGCAAGCGUUGUUCGGAUUUACUGGGCGUAAAGGGCGCGUAGGCGGACGGUCAAGUCAGAGGUGAAAGGCCCGGGCUCAACCUGGGACGUGCCUUUGAAACUGAUUGUCUUGAGUGCGGAAGAGGGUGACGGAAUUCCCAGUGUAGAGGUGAAAUUCGUAGAUAUUGGGAAGAACACCGGUGGCGAAGGCGGUCACCUGGUCCGCAACUGACGCUGAGGCGCGAAAGCGUGGGGAGCAAACAGGAUUAGAUACCCCCGUAGUCC